UAGGGAAUCUUCGGCAAUGGACGGAAGUCUGACCGAGCAACGCCGCGUGAGUGAAGAAGGUUUUCGGAUCGUAAAGCUCUGUUGUAAGAGAAGAACGAGUGUGAGAGUGGAAAGUUCACACUGUGACGGUAUCUUACCAGAAAGGGACGGCUAACUACGUGCCAGCAGCCGCGGUAAUACGUAGGUCCCGAGCGUUGUCCGGAUUUAUUGGGCGUAAAGCGAGCGCAGGCGGUUAGAUAAGUCUGAAGUUAAAGGCUGUGGCUUAACCAUAGUACGCUUUGGAAACUGUUUAACUUGAGUGCAAGAGGGGAGAGUGGAAUUCCAUGUGUAGCGGUGAAAUGCGUAGAUAUAUGGAGGAACACCGGCGGCGAAAGCGGCUCUCUGGCUUGUAACUGACGCUGAGGCUCGAAAGCGUGGGGAGCAAACAGGAUUAGAUACCCUGGUAGUCCACGCCGUAAACGAUGAGUGCUAGGUGUUAGACCCUUUCCGGGGUUUAGUGCCGCAGCUAACGCAUUAAGCACUCCGCCUGGGGAGUACGACCGCAAGGUU
rnacentral:rRNA from 1 species